rnacentral:tRNA from 1 species
GGGCUCAUAGCACAGCUGGGAUGUGCGUCCGCUUCACGUGCGGAAGGUCACAGGUUCGAGCCCUGUUGGGCCCA